UGGGGAAUUUUGGACAAUGGGGGAAACCCUGAUCCAGCCAUCCCGCGUGUGCGAUGAAGGCCUUCGGGUUGUAAAGCACUUUUGGCAGGAAAGAAACGUCAUGGGUUAAUACCCCGUGAAACUGACGGUACCUGCAGAAUAAGCACCGGCUAACUACGUGCCAGCAGCCGCGGUAAUACGUAGGGUGCAAGCGUUAAUCGGAAUUACUGGGCGUAAAGCGUGCGCAGGCGGUUCGGAAAGAAAGAUGUGAAACCCCAGAGCUCAACUUUGGAACUGCAUUUUUAACUACCGGGCUAGAGUGUGUCAGAGGGAGGUGGAAUUCCGCGUGUGGCAGUGAAAUGCGUAGAUAUGCGGAGGAACACCGAUGGCGAAGGCAGCCUCCUGGGAUAACACUGACGCUCAUGCACGAAAGCGUGGGGAGCAAACAGG
rnacentral:rRNA from 1 species